GGGUUGUGAGGUUAAGCGACUAAGCGUACACGGUGGAUGCCCUGGCAGUCAGAGGCGAUGAAGGACGUGCUAAUCUGCGAUAAGCGCCGGUAAGGUGAUAUGAACCGUUAUAACCGGCGAUUUCCGAAUGGGGAAACCCAGUGUGACUCGUCACACUAUCAUUAACUGAAUCCAUAGGUUAAUGAGGCGAACCGGGGGAACUGAAACAUCUAAGUACCCCGAGGAAAAGAAAUCAACCGAGAUUCCCCCAGUAGCGGCGAGCGAACGGGGAGGAGCCCAGAGCCUGAAUCAGCAUGUGUGUUAGUGGAAGCGUCUGGAAAGGCGCGCGAUACAGGGUGACAGCCCCGUACACAAAAGCGCAUGUGCUGUGAGCUCGAUGAGUAGGGCGGGACACGUGGUAUCCUGUCUGAAUAUGGGGGGACCAUCCUCCAAGGCUAAAUACUCCUGACUGACCGAUAGUGAACCAGUACCGUGAGGGAAAGGCGAAAAGAACCCCGGCGAGGGGAGUGAAAAAGAACCUGAAACCGUGUACGUACAAGCAGUGGGAGCACAGGUUUACCUGUGUGACUGCGUACCUUUUGUAUAAUGGGUCAGCGACUUAUAUUCUGUAGCAAGGUUAACCGAAUAGGGGAGCCGGAGGGAAACCGAGUCUUAAUUGGGCGUUAAGUUGCAGGGUAUAGACCCGAAACCCGGUGAUCUAGCCAUGGGCAGGUUGAAGGUUGGGUAACACUAACUGGAGGACCGAACCGACUAAUGUUGAAAAAUUAGCGGAUGACCUGUGGCUGGGGGUGAAAGGCCAAUCAAACCGGGAGAUAGCUGGUUCUCCCCGAAAGCUAUUUAGGUAGCGCCUCGUGAAUUCAUCUCCGGGGGUAGAGCACUGUUUCGGCUAGGGGGCCAUCCCGGCUUACCAACCCGAUGCAAACUGCGAAUACCGGAGAAUGUUAUCACGGGAGACACACGGCGGGUGCUAACGUCCGUCGUGAAGAGGGAAACAACCCAGACCGCCAGCUAAGGUCCCAAAGUCAUGGUUAAGUGGGAAACGAUGUGGGAAGGCCCAGACAGCCAGGAUGUUGGCUUAGAAGCAGCCAUCAUUUAAAGAAAGCGUAUUAGCUCACUGGUCGAGUCGGCCUGCGCGGAAGAUGUAACGGGGCUAAACCAUGCACCGAAGCUGCGGCAGCGA
rnacentral:rRNA from 1 species